GUGCACACUUGUCAUCUUUAUAUAUCUCCACCUGUGCACCUUUUGUAAAUCUGAAUAUCUUUCUGGAAUGCCUGGCAUAUUCGGGUNUGAGGAUUGAUCUUUUUCUUUCCUUACAUUUUCAGGUUUAUGUUUUUCAUAUACCCCAAGUAUGUUAUAGAAUGUUAUAAACGGGCCUUUGUGCCUAUAAAUUUAUACAACUUUCAGCAACGGAUCUCUUGGCUCUCGCAUCGAUGAAGAACGCAGCGAAAUGCGAUAAGUAAUGUGAAUUGCAGAAUUCAGUGAAUCAUCGAAUCUUUGAACGCACCUUGCGCUCCUUGGUAUUCCGAGGAGCAUGCCUGUUUGAGUGUCAUUAAUAUAUCAACCUCUUCCGCUUUUUGCAGGUUGAGUGUUGGAUGUGGGGGGUAUUUUUGCUGGACUCUAGAAUGUGAGGUCAGCUCCCCUAAAAUGUAUCAGCGAAACAAUUUGUUUACCGCUCAUUGGUGUGAUAACUAUCUACGCUAUUGACGGU
rnacentral:rRNA from 1 species